rnacentral:lncRNA from 1 species
CCCCCCCCCCCCCCCCCCCCCCCCCCCCCCCCCCCCCCCCCCCCCCCCCCCCCCCCCCCCCCCCCCCCCCCCCCCCCCCCCCCCCCCCCCCCCCCCCCCCCCCCCCCCCGGCCCGGCGGGGACAGCGCCGGGGAGCGACUCGCCCCGCCGCCUCGCGCGGCGUCCUGGGAAAUGUAGUUCCGCUGGAUGGCGGGGAGGAUUCCCCGAUCGCCGCCUUCUCCCCGCGCCGCCCGUAAUCCCAGAGAUGGCGUUCGGACGGCUGAGCCUCUGCGCCCGGACGUGCGGUCCGGUCCCCCUGGGCGGGGGCGAGGGAGCCGGCGGGAGGGGCAGGGCAGGGGCGGUGCCGUGCCUGCAGCGGGAGCACAGGGCAAUAAUGGUCACCUCCACCUCCGAGCGGGAUUUAAACGGCUUGGGCUGUCCCGCAGCCACCCCAGGGACACGGGAAGCGCAGGUGUCGCAGCAGCUCCACACGCUCGCUCGGGCCCUGCCCUGGCAGCCCCGGCUUUUCUGCUCCGUCCCAGUUCUGAGCGGCGCUCGGCCUCCCACUGCCAAAAGCUGGAAACCCUGCCCAAGGCUGCAGGUGUUUCUUGAACAUCGUUUGCGAUGUUGGGAAGGAGAGCGACACACAUUUGUCAGGAGUUGCCACGCUGCCUGUUUCGCGAAGAGAGGGAAAACAGGAGGAUUGAGGGCGGCAGAUGUGGGCACCGAGGCACGGAGCUGGGCUCCCUUUCCACCGUGUGCGCCCCGGCAGCGGAGCCCGGCUGAGGCGGACGGGCCAUCGGGCUGUGCCGCGGCCAGGCAGAGACGUGAACGGUGCUGUGUGCCACCACGGCGGUGCCAGCGGCUCCCGAGGGACGCGCCCCGCCUGUGCCCCUUGGCCCUCGGCCGUGGCCGGGCGCACCGGGAGAGCCCGCUGCCCCCUCGGGCAGCCGCUGCUUGCUGGUGCCUGCUCGGAACCACAGCCGCCCGCCCCGGAACCUGCCCGCGGAGCCUGAGCUGA